GACGAACGCUGGCGGCGUGCUUAACACAUGCGAGUCGAACGGAAAGGCCUGCUUUCCCUUGUGGAUUGCGGGUACUCGAGUGGCGAACGGGUGAGUAACACGUGAGUGAUCUGCCCCCAACUUGGGUAUAAGCCUGGGAAACUGGGUCUAAUUCCCGAUAGGACUGCAGGGUGGUGCCUGUGGUGGAAAACGAUGUUCUAGUGGUUGGGGAUGAGCUCGCGGCCUAUCAGCUUGUUGGUGGGGUAAUGGCCUACCAAGGCGGCGACGGGUAGCCGGCCUGAGAGGGUGGACGGCCACAUUGGGACUGAGAUACGGCCCAGACUCCUACGGGAGGCAGCAGUGGGGAAUAUUGCACAAUGGGCGGAAGCCUGAUGCAGCGACGCCGCGUGGGGGAUGACGGCCUUCGGGUUGUAAACUCCUCUCGACCGCGAGGAAGCCACCUGGUUGGAAGGGUGGUGACGGUAGUGGUAGAAGAAGCACCGGCUAACUACGUG
rnacentral:rRNA from 1 species